GUAACGUUUCUCCAACCUGUGCUGCCUCGCUUGAACGAACACGAACAGAUAGGGCCAGGCUCCGGCAGUGAAGCUCGCCGACUGCUGCGCCGCAACCUCACCGUCUGCUCCGUUGCGACCUCGACCUGUUCCUACGUAUAGCGGACUGACCACCCCAUCCCCGCGCCACCAUUCUCCACCUCGGCGCCAUCCCGUCACCACACCCCGGCGGCUAGCUCCGCCAUCGGUUGACGCCUACCUUCGCCACCAGCCGACGGCUAGAUCCGCCAUCCGCUGACGCUGGAGAAGACAACUCCAGCCUUCAGCACAACCCAUGGGAGCAGAGAUCACUUCGCGAUUAAAUAAUGGAUGAGAAAUGCCUUUAUUCGUGUGCUAUAUGAAACUGGUUACAUUAUUGUAGACUUUUGGUACAGCUUGUACAACUAGUUGCCGCUGUGUUGCAGCUAGCGCCUCUUGUCCUUUUUCUUUUUUCUGUAACAUGCACAAGAGUGUUGUUAGUUUCGUGAGUGUGACUACUGGCCUGGGAGACCGACGAAGUGAAAGAGGGCGUUGGCUGCUUCCUGAAUAUUGUUGUCUAGUUUCUCAUCCUGUACAAUAGUUUAGCUUCUUUUGAUUGUAGCCUGGUUUCUAUUUU